rnacentral:rRNA from 1 species
ACGCCCUGUCCUUUCGGGGGCAGAGAGUGGCAGACGGGUGAGUAAUACAUGGGUGACCUACCCUUUGGUGAGGAAUACCGGCGAGAAAUCGUCGACAAGACCGCAUAGGCUUCCUUCGGGAAGCAAAGCUCCGCAAGGGGCGCCAGAGGAUGGGCCUGUGGCCGAUUAGCUAGUUGGGGAGGUAAAAGCCCCCCAAGGCGACGAUCGGUAGCUGGUCUGAGAGGAUGAUCAGCCACACUGGGAUUGAGAACGGCCCAGACUCCUACGGGAGGCAGCAGUGAGGAAUUUUCGGCAAUGGGGGAAACCCUGACGCAGCAACGCCGCGUGGAGGAUGAAGCCCCUUGGG